GAUCCUGGCUCAGGAUGAACGCUAGCUACAGGCUUAACACAUGUAAGUCGAGGGGCAGCAUAAACUUAGCUUGCUAAGUUUGAUGGCGACCGGCGCACGGGUGAGUAACACGUAUCCAACCUUCCGUUUACUCAGGGAUAGCCUUUCGAAAGAAAGAUUAAUACCUGAUAGUAUGGUGAGAUUGCAUGAUAGCACCAUUAAAGAUUUAUUGGUAAACGAUGGGGAUGCGUUCCAUUAGGUAGUAGGG
rnacentral:rRNA from 1 species